UGUCAAGUAAUUUUGUUGGAUUCCAACCCAGAUCCUAAGAAGAAAGCAAGUAAAAUAUUCAGCAUUAAGCAAUUGGCUUUGUACCUUGAAGGGAUGCUUCAACAUGACUCUUUCUAUGACUUUGAGAGUACAAUUAGGCCUAAGGUGUCUGAGUUUCCCAUUUUGGAAGCUCUCGGAAUAGGAAGACAAAGAAAUGACUCCUUUGAUUGCGGUAUUUGGGUAGCAACUUGGAUGAAGAACUACAUUUGGAUUGAUGAUUACAACAUUUAUGU